rnacentral:rRNA from 1 species
CUACGGGCGGCUGCAGUGAGGAGUAUUGCACAAUGGGGGGAACCCUGAUGCAGCAACGCCGCGUGGAGGAUGACGCAUUUCGGUGUGUAAACUCCUUUUAUAUGUCAAGAAAAUGACGGUAGCAUAUGAAUAAGCACCGGCUAACUCGCGUGCCAGCAGCCGCGGUAAUACGGAGGGUGCAAGCGUUACUCGGAAUCGCUGGGCGUAAAGGACGCGUAGGCGGGUUGGAAAGUCAGGUGUGAAAUCCUACAGCUUAACUGUAGAACUGCACUUGAAACUUCUAAUCUAGAGUAUGGGAGGGGGAGAUGGAAUUAGUGGUGUAGGGGUAAAAUCCGUAGAUAUCACUAGGAAUACCUAAAGCGAAGGCGAUCUCCUGGAACAUUACUGACGCUAAGGCGUGAAAGCGUGGGGAGCAAACAGGAUUAGAUACCCGUGUAGUC